AAUAAACUCUAAUGAAAGUUACAAAGAGUGACUAAGAAAUCUCUUGUUCCAUUGGUAGAAUUUCUUUAUGUGGUGUUUUCAUAAGUUAUUUUGGCUAAAAAUUAAAAUUGUAUUUUCCUGAAAUGUUCCCUCCCUGUUCAGCUUCGGAUUCACGUUCUAGUUUGUAUUGGCUGUGAGUGGUAUCUUCCUUUUGAACAAUUAAGCUUAGGCUGUUAUGAUUCCUUCGUUUCUGCCAUCAACACAUACUAUCACCAGGUUUUUGUUGUUGUUUUUUUUUUUUUUUAAUUUAUGACUAUGGAUUUGUGUUUUUGGGCUUGUGAAAUGUGAUUGAUUAGGGUUCUCUAGUUUAUUGAUGUGUGAGGAUUCUUAGUUAUGGGUGAAAGAGGCCUGCGAUUUCGUUAACUGGCAGAACAUGAUAAAGAUUGCGUUUUGGCCAACAUUUUGGCUGCUCAUUUUAUGGCUUCCAACGAUCCCUCUAAAGCAUCUGGAUUCUGCUUAUAUUCACGCAGCCAAGUCUCAUCUCCUUCUAAAAAUUUUCCUGAGAGAUCUGGUUUCUCUGAAAAGAGCCCAAGUGUUCCGCCUCUGCAUGGGUCACUCUGAUCUGUCUUUAGCCUUUGUUGAGUACCGGUAUUGUGUUAUGCACAACUGGUGGCAUGUAUCCCUUUGUUAGUUGGAAGGUCAUUCUCCUUUGAGCAAAAUCGUCGAGGUUUAUGAUAAUCAUAUCUGGAAGGAGUUGUAGAGGAUUGACACAAUGCCUCCAGAGGAGGCAAACUUUGCAUCUUUGGGCACCGUAUGAAGAUCUUAUCAGAUUGUGUGAUAGAUAAAAGUGAGUAGACCACCCAGAACUUUUAGCUUUCGAUUAGAAGUGUAACCUUAUCUUAAGAAUAAGUUUAAUUCAUUCAAGUACAGAGGUUCCAUGAGAUUGUCGUUAGAAAAUGUAUUAUGAUUAUGUGUCUUCUCUGUAUUUAUAUCUGCUUACCAGAGCAAGUUUAUUUUUAUGAUUGAGUUUUCCUCUUUAUGUAGACCAAAGUUGUUUGC